GCCCAGGUGGCGAAAUGGCAGACGCACUACCUUGAGGUGGUAGCGGGAGCAAUCCUGUGGAGGUUCGAGUCCUCUCCUGGGCACCA
rnacentral:tRNA from 1 species